rnacentral:rRNA from 1 species
CCUACGGGUGGCAGCAGUGGGGAAUAUUGGACAAUGGGCGAAAGCCUGAUCCAGCCAUGCCGCGUGUGUGAAGAAGGCCUUCGGGUUGUAAAGCACUUUCAGUGGGGAAGAAAGCCUUGGGGCUAAUACCCUCGAGGAAGGACAUCACCCACAGAAGAAGCACCGGCUAACUCCGUGCCAGCAGCCGCGGUAAUACGGAGGGUGCGAGGUUAAUCGGAAUUACUGGGCGUAAAGCGCGCGUAGGCGGUCUGAUAAGCCGGUUGUGAAAGCCCCGGGCUCAACCUGGGAACGGCAUCCGGAACUGUCAGGCUAGAGUGCAGGAGAGGAAGGUAGAAUUCCCGGUGUAGCGGUGAAAUGCGUAGAGAUCGGGAGGAAUACCAGUGGCGAAGGCGGCCUUCUGGACUGACACUGACGCUGAGGUGCGAAAGCGUGGGUAGCAAACAGGAUUAGAUACCCGUGUAGUC